rnacentral:rRNA from 1 species
CAGCAGCCGCGGUAAUACGUAGGGUGCGAGCGUUAAUCGGAAUUACUGGGCGUAAAGCGUGCGCAGGCGGUUUUGUAAGACAGGUGUGAAAUCCCCGGGCUUAACCUGGGAACUGCGCUUGUGACUGCAAGACUCGAGUACGGCAGAGGGGGGUGGAAUUCCACGUGUAGCAGUGAAAUGCGUAGAGAUGUGGAGGAACACCGAUGGCGAAGGCAGCCCCCUGGGUCGAUACUGACGCUCAUGCACGAAAGCGUGGGGAGCAAACAGGAUUAGAUACCCUGGUAGUCCACGCCCUAAACGAUGCCAACUAGGUGUUGGGGAAGGAGACUUCCUUAGUACCGUAGCUAACGCGUGAAGUUGGCCGCCUGGGGAGUACGGUCGCAAGAUUAAAACUCAAAGGAAUUGACGG